rnacentral:misc_RNA from 1 species
UCUCCGUAGGUGAACCUGCGGAGGGAUCAUUACUGAGUGAGGGCCUUCGGGCUCGACCUCCAACCCUUUGUGAACACAACUUGUUGCUUCGGGGGCGACCCUGCCGUUUCGACGGCGAGCGCCCCCGGAGGCCUUCAAACACUGCAUCUUUGCGUCGGAGUUUAAAACAAAUGAAAAAAAACUUUCAACAACGGAUCUCUUGGUUCUGGCAUCGAUGAAGAACGAGC